rnacentral:rRNA from 1 species
GAUGAACGCUGGCGGCGUGCUUAACACAUGCAAGUCGAACGGAAAGGCUCCUGCUUGCAGGGGUACUCGAGUGGCGAACGGGUGAGUAACACGUGGGUGAUCUGCCCUGCACUUCGGGAUAAGCCUGGGAAACUGGGUCUAAUACCGGAUAGGACCACAUUUUGGAUGGUGUGGUGGAAAGUUUUUCGGUGUGGGAUGAGCUCGCGGCCUAUCAGCUUGUUGGUGGGGUAAUGGCCUACCAAGGCGUCGACGGGUAGCCGGCCUGAGAGGGUGUACGGCCACAUUGGGCCUGGGCUACGGCCCAGACUCCUACGGGAGGCAGCAGUGGGGAAUAUUGCACAAUGGGCGCAAGCCUGAUGCAGCGACGCCGCGUGGGGGAUGACGGCCUUCGGGUUGUAAACUCCUUUCGCUAGGGACGAAGCGCAAGUGACGGUACCUGGAGAAGAAGCACCGGCUAACUACGUG